UACGUAGGGUGCAAGCGUUAAUCGGAAUUACUGGGCGUAAAGCGUGCGCAGGCGGUUCGCUAAGACAGAUGUGAAAUCCCCGGGCUUAACCUGGGAACUGCAUUUGUGACUGGCGGGCUAGAGUAUGGCAGAGGGGGGGUAGAAUUCCACGUGUAGCAGUGAAAUGCGUAGAGAUGUGGAGGAAUACCGAUGGCGAAGGCAGCCCCCUGGGCCCAAUACUGACGCUCAUGCACGAA
rnacentral:rRNA from 1 species